rnacentral:piRNA from 1 species
UGACCAGAAUCGCAAUGUGACCUUGAC